rnacentral:rRNA from 1 species
GACGAACGCUGGCGGCGUGCUUAACACAUGCAAGUCGAACGGAAAGGCCCUGCUUUUGUGGGGUGCUCGAGUGGCGAACGGGUGAGUAACACGUGAGUAACCUGCCCUUGACUUUGGGAUAACUUCAGGAAACUGGGGCUAAUACCGGAUAGGGGCUCCUGCUGCAUGGUGGGGGUUGGAAAGUUUCGGCGGUUGGGGAUGGACUCGCGGCUUAUCAGCUUGUUGGUGGGGUAGUGGCUUACCAAGGCUUUGACGGGUAGCCGGCCUGAGAGGGUGACCGGCCACAUGGGGACUGAGAUACGGCCCAGACUCCUACGGGAGGCAGCAGUGGGGAAUAUUGCACAAUGGGCGGAAGCCUGAUGCAGCAACGCCGCGUGCGGGAUGACGGCCUUCGGGUUGUAAACCGCUUUCGCCUGUGACGAAGCGUGAGUGACGGUAAUGGGUAAAGAAGCACCGGCUAACUACGUG